rnacentral:rRNA from 1 species
CACGUAGGGUGCGAGCGUUGUCCGGAAUUAUUGGGCGUAAAGAGCUCGUAGGCGGUCCGUCACGUCGGAUGUGAAAUUCCAGGGCUCAACCCUGGACCUGCAUUCGAUACGGGCGGACUAGAGUUCGGUAGGGGGAGACUGGAAUUCCUGGUGUAGCGGUGAAAUGCGCAGAUAUCAGGAGGAACACCGAUGGCGAAGGCAGAUCUCUGGGCCGUAACUGACGCUGAGGAGCGAAAGCGUGGGGAGCGAACAGG